GUGCUCACUUUGGUGGUACGUAUACUAAAAUUGGAACAAUACAGAGAAGACUAGCAUGGCCCCUGUGCAAGGAUGGCACUCAAAUUUGUGAAGUGUUCCAUAUUGAA
ensembl:snRNA U6 U6 spliceosomal RNA